rnacentral:snRNA from 1 species
GUGCUUGCUACGGCGGCACAUAUACUAAAAUUGGAUCGAUACAGAGAAGAUUAGCAUGGCCCCUGCGAAAGGAUGACACGCAAAUCCGUGAAUCCGUGAAGCGCUCCAUCUUUUU